GUGCUUGCUUUGGCAGCACUUAUACUAAAAUUGGAACGAUACAGAGAAGAUUAGCAUGGCCUCUGCGCAAGGAUGACACACGUUCCAUAUUAAAAAAAAAAAAAUCAA